UUUGGAAGCUUUAAUUGCUCUGCUGAAGGAAAGUCCUAAUGCAGUGCCAAGGCUGGCAGGUUAAAUGUGGUGGGACCACUGGUAUGAGGGCAGCUGGUGCUCUGUGCCCCCGUUGAUCUGUUGCCUGGCUGGCGGAUCAGCUCCUCUCUGCUUUUUCUGCUGGAGACAGCAACCCCAGGCACAAGCAGCAGGACGUGUGUGUGUCCUUCCCAAGACGAAAAAAAUCUCAACCAAAUCUGAAGACAAAGGGGUCACCAUUUCAGCUACACUAGUGCUGGCAGCAGACAACCUCUGUGUUCUGCCAACUGAAAAAUAAAUGAAAUGUUUGACAAAGAAGAAUAUGAGUUGGCAAAAUCAGUUGGUACAUUCUGUACAUGAAAAUUGAAGACAUUUUUCUACUGAAUACAGCAGUGAUCACUGGGAAUAGCUCCAUACAAACAGGAAGCAUCCCCAUCACUUGUAUUUGAAGUAGAGCAAUCUCCAGAACACGGAGGAGAAAGUCUCAUUUUGUCUUGAAGUUCAUCUAUUUAUGAUAUCUUCUUCAUCUGGACAGGCAGUAAGGUGAAAUUGCCUGAGGUCUAUUAAGCUUUAAACACAAGCCAUCUGUUCAAACAAAACGUUCCCCAAAAGGUAGUGUUUCCCAAUACCACCAUUACCUCUGAGCAUUGCAAAACUGCUGUGUCAAUAUGCAGGGCAUAAGCAAGACCUGACCAUUUCAAUUGCUUUUCCAGCACAGUGAAACUGGAAAAUAAUAAGGCGACACCAGCCUUAGGAAAGGAGCGGGUGGCAGACCCUGAGAACAAACCCUAGAAGCAUCCAUCAGAGCUGCAGCUCCUGUGAGCGAAGGUCACUGCUGUCCCCACCAGUUUACAGGCCGUGCAGCGUUCUUUCAGAGAAGUACCU